CCAAUAAAAAUAAUCCUCAUUCUGCUUCUAGACUUGUCCAGUAAACGACUAUAGAUUUUCUGUGUUCUUGUUUCUUGUAACUGAAAACAGCGACUGCAUUGGAUUCCGAACUUAAUAGUUUUCUGUAAGCCAAUCUGCAGUCGUUAAUUCCCAUCUUAGUACCUAUUUCCGUGAAGAAGUUCAACUAAACUUCCUGUCAAAAUGUGCUGCGGACCUUGCUACUCGUGCUGCGGACCCUGCGGAGGUUGCUGCGGACCUUGCGGGCCCUGCGGUGGCUGUUGUGGACCUUGCGGACCUUGUGGACCUUGUGGACCCUGCGGCGGCUGUUGUGGACCUUGCGGAGGAUGCUGCGGACCCUGCUGUGGUGGCUGUGGUCCCUGCUGUUAGAAACAUCUUCAGAACGAAACCUAGGUACUAACCAGCAUUCGGUACAAAAAGCAACAGCAAACCCUUUGUAAAUUUAUGUAACCAUAUACAGUAAUA
rnacentral:sRNA from 1 species